UCGUGGGGGGUUUUUCCCCUCCUAAGUUAAUGUAUAUAAACAGUGUUUGUUCCUUGCUUUUUGCUGUCCGCAAAUCAUGUUUCGAAGGCAUUGGGGAUACCAUAUUUUUUGCUCCAUAAAACGCACUUUUGUCUUCCUAAAAAGUAAGGGGAAAUGUCUGUGCGUCUUAUGGAGCGAAUGUGUGGUCCCUAGAGCCGAAUUGCCCAGGGGCAAAAUGCAGAUCAUGGACGCUAGCAAUAAAGGAGGCUGCCUGGGAGGGGGAGGUAAAAGCCCAUGGAUCCUCAGGAUUUUUACAUUGGGUCACCCCAAAUUCACCAUCAGAUCACAUAGCAUGUCCAUGGCUACAGCCUGCACCAAAAAUAUCAUGCACCUACUGUUGCCUGGGGCAGCAAUGGUGCAAAAACGUGGUUACAAAGCACGGAUCCACAUGGAUCCUCAGGAUUUUUGCAUUGGGCUACUCCAAACUCACUGUCAAAUCACAUGUCUGUGGCCACAGCAUGAACCACAAAAAUCAUACAUCCACUGUUUCGUUCGGAAUAUUUUUUUUCCUUGUUUUCCUCUAAAAACUAGGUGUGUCUUAUGGAGCGGAAAAUACGGUAAUUACUGCCUUCAGACAGAUGGAUGGGGUACAAAUAAAAAAAAAUUACCAUCAUCAUCACUCGAUAGCCCUCUCCUCUGUGAAUUUGUCUUUUUUAAAAUCAGUGCCUGUUGGUGCUUCCUGUGGCAGUGAGUUCCACAGUUUAACUGUGAGAUACUUUUCUUUGGUCCAACGUUCGGCAUCAUUGGACGUCUGGUGUUAUGGGAGCGUGAGAAGCAUGUUGUCAGUGUUCCCCACGGCUUGCGUUUCUUUUUGCGUGCCACGCAUUAGUUUUCCCUCCUCAAAAUAAAAUAAAUGUGACAAGCA